rnacentral:lncRNA from 1 species
UUUUUUUUUUUUUUUUUUUUUUUACUUUGAUUCUUUAUGAGACAUCAGGAAACUGUUCCUGAUAAUCCUGUGGUUCUUGAAAUGCUUCCCUAUAAGCCUAAAACAGAAGAUUCUGAGUGUGAAAUAAGAAAUAAAAAUAAAACAGUUCUUUCAGUAGGAGGGAGACUUGACCUUCUGUUGAGUUGGCAUUCUUUGGAACAGUAACCAAAGACCCGGCCAAGCAGAGUCACUGCAGUAAGACAGAGAGUGAGCAGAACAAGGGUUAUGGACAGAGAGCGAAAUGUUUGUGUUCAGGUUUCAGAUGGCAGCAAAGAUCAGGGUGGGCUGGGGGAGUGUGGCUGAAAUCGAGUCAGUGGAAGGCCAAGGAGCAGACAAAAGUCAAGGUCCUUUCUGUCAGGUUGUUGGGACAGCUCAUACCUGUGGCCACUCACAUGCCUUCUUACAGGGGCAAAGCAGGUCUUGGAGGAGAGAGAGGGAGAAAGUUUGAUAGAAGACAAAGCCAAAGGAGACAGAUUCAUAAAGGAAGGGUUUUAAUGAGAGGGAGGAAAGUCAUACUCUAGAAGUGCUCUGGAGAGUUCCUGACUCUGGUAAUGGUUGAGAAGCUCCUACUAGAUCAAGCAUCCUGAAAGUCACAGCUAUCAACUCAGAAAAUGUUCAAAAGAACAACCACUUGCUUCCUUGACAUCACUGGGGAGUGGAUCAAAGCAGGCAGAUACUGAAGGGGAUCAGAAGGGAAUUUCCUGUUAUGAAAGCUUUGGCCCUGAAGACAGGUGAGGACAGUGCCUUGAGGAGGACUGAAACUGAAGCAGAAGCUUGUAAGUUUUCUGAGUUGAAGAAUCAGAGGACAGAGUGCAGGGUGAUUACAGCAGCUGGUGGUAGAGGUUGUAGGAUCUCAGAAAGAGGAGAUCCAGAGUGGGGGAACCCCCAAAUCUCUAUCUAGACAUACCAUAUUUUGUUGUCCUUCACAGACAUUGAAUAUUUUCCAAACUGAAGUUUGUGGCAACCUUGUCUGGAGAUAGUCUCUUGGCACCAUUUUUCCGACAGCAUUUGCUCACUUUGUGAGAACACAAGUGUCUCUGUGUCAUAUUUUGGCAAUUCUCACAGUAUUUCAAGACUGUUUUUUAUUCUUAUAUUUGCUAUGUUGAUCUGUGAUUAGUUACCUACGAUAUUGCUAUUAUAGUUGUUUUUGGGUGCUGCAAACCAUGCCCAUAUAAGGUGGCAAACUUAAUCGGUAAAGAUUUUGUAGGUCCUGAGUAGUCCACUGUCAAGUCCAUCCCCAUCUAUCUCCCUCCUCUGAGCCUUCCUAUUCACUGAAAUAAAAUAUUGAAAUUAGGCUCCUAAUUUCAAUUAGGGGCACCUGGGUGGCUCAAGAGGUUGAGCAUCUGACUCUUGAUAUCAGCUCAGGUCUUGAUCUCAGGGUCAUGAGUUCAAGCCCCACAUUGGGCUUCCUGCUGGGUAUGGAGCCUACUUUAAAAAGAAAGAAAGACAGAGAGGGAAGGCAGGAGGGAGGGAAGGGAGGGAGGGAGGGAGGAGGGGGGAAGGGAGGAAGGAAGGAAGAAAGGAAGGAAGGAAGGAAGGAAGGAAGGAAGGAAGGAAGGAAGGAAGGAAGGAAGGAAGAAAGAAACUGGGUCAACUAAUAACCUUACAGUGGCCUCUAAGUGCUCAAGUAAAAGAAAGAGUUGCACAUUUCUCACUUUAAAUCAAGAAAUAAAAAAAAUCAAGAAAUAAUUAAGGGGAUGCCUGGGUGGCUCAGUUGGUAAACAUCUGCCUUUGGCUCAGGUCAUGAUCCUGGGGUCCUGGGAUCAAGCCCCACAUCGGACUCCCUGUUUGGCAGGGAGUCUGCUUGUCCCUCUCCUUCUGUUGCUUCUCCUGCUUGUGCUCUCUCUCUCUCUCUCUGUCAAAUAAAUAAAUAAAAUCUUUAAAAAAAAAGAAAGAGUUAAGAAAUAAUUAAGCUUCGUGAGGAAGACAUGUCAAAAACCAACAUAGUCCAAAAGCUCAGCCUCUUGUGCCAGUUAGCCAAGUUGUGAAGAUAAAGUAAAAGUUUUGAAGGAAAUGAAAAGUGCUACUUCAGUGAACAUAUGAGUGAUAAGAAAGCAAAACAGUUUUUUGCUGAUCUGGAGGAAAUUUUAGUGGUCUGGAUAGAAGAUCAAAUCAGACACAACAGUCCCUUAAGCCAAAGCCUAAUCCAGGGCAAGGCCCUAACUUCCUUCAGUUCUUUGUAGGCUGAGAAAGGUGGGGAAGCUGCAGAAGAAAAGUGUGAAGCUAGCAGAGGUUGGUUCAUGAAGUUUAAGGACAGAAACCAUCAAUCUCAAUUUCCUGGUUUUGAUAAUUGUGCUAUGUUUAUAUUAGAUGUUCACAUCUAGAGAAGCUGGAUGUAAAUAUAGUAUUCAGAGUGAAAUUUAUACUUGUAAAAACAUAUGCUAGAAGAUAAGAACAACUGAAAACCAGUGAUGUAAGCUACUAUUACAAGAAGCUUGAGUAAAGAAUAACAAUUUGGCUAAAAUCAAUACAAGAAACAAGUGUUGGCGAGGAUGUGGGGAAAGCGGAACUCUCUUGCACUGUUGGUGGGAAUGCGCACUGGUGUAGCCACUGUGGAAGACAGUGUGGAGGAAAAUUAAAAAUAGAAUUACUAUAUGAUCCAUUAGUUCCUCUACUGGGUAUUUACCCAAAGAAUAUGAAAAUGCUCAUUUGAAAAGAUAUAUGUGGUACACCUGGCUGGCUCAGUCAGUAGAACAUAGGACUCUUAAUCUUGGGGAUAUGAGCUCGAGCCCCACAUUGAGUAUAGAAAUCAAUUAAAAAUAAUAAAAUAUUUUUUUAAAAAAGAAAAGAUGUAUGCAUCUCUAUGUUUAUUUACAGCAGACAAGAAAUGGAAACAACCAAAGUGCCACUGACAAAUAAAUGAAUAAAAAAGAUGUGGUAUAGGGAUCCCUGGGUGGCACAGUGAUUUGGUGCCUGCCUUUGGCCCAGGGCGUGAUCCCGGAGACCCGGGAUCGAAUCCCACGUCGGGCUCCCGGUGCAUGGAGCCUGCUUCUCCCUCUGCCUAUGUCUCUGCCCCUCUCUCUCUUUGUGUGACUACCAUAAAAAAAAAAAAGAUGUGGUAUAAAUAUAUAUACACCACACAUAUUUAAAUAUAUGUGUGGUACAUAUAUAUUUGGUAUAUAUGUAUAUAUAGGUACUAAUAAAUAUAAAUAUAUAUUUAAAUAUAUGUAGUAUAUACAUACACCACAUAUAUAAAUAUAUAUUUAUAUUGGAAUGUGUGUGUGUGUGUAUAUAUAUAUAUAUAUAUAUCCCAUAUCUUGGCUGCUGUAAAUUUUAUAUGUAUAUGUAUGUUGGAAUAUUACUUAGCUGUAAAAAAAAUGAAAUCUUGCUAUUUGCAACAACAUGAAUGGAUCUAGAGGGUAUAAUGCUAAGUGAAAUAAGUCAGUCAGAAAGUUAGAGAAAGGCAAAUACCAUAUGAUUUCACUCAUAUGUGGAAUUUAAGAAACAAAUCAACAAAGAAAAAAAAGAGCCAACCAAAAAAACAGACUCUUAAGUAUAGAGAACACACUGGUGGUUAGCAGAGGGAUGGAAGGUGGGGGGAUGGGGAAAACAGGUGAAGGAGAUCAAGAGUACACUUACUAUGAUGAACACUGAGUAAUGUACAGAAUUGUUGCAUCACUAUAUUGUACACCUGAAACUAAUAUAACACUGUAUAUUAACUAUACUGGAAUUUUAAAAUAAAUUUUAAAAUAAAUAAGAAUAACAAUUUGUCCAAACAUUUAAGAAAUAUAUAAUAACAAUUUUUGGAGAAAAAUACUCUUACAGAAAAUACAAAAGGAGGUAAUACUUCUCAAGUUAUUGACAAAAGCUUGACAAAGGCUUACAAGAAAGGGAAAUUUCAAGUGAAUAUCAGUCAUGAUAACAGACACAAAAAAACCUAAACAAUAUAUUAAAUCUAAUACUGCAAUAUAUAAAUGGAAUAUUUCAAAGACAAAUGGGUUUACUGCAGGAAUAAAUGCCACUUUACACCAACAGAGGAGCUAAACUAGAAUGAGCAGGCAAGUCCAAGAUUUGCCAUUGAUGUGGAGAAAUAAGAAGAUUCAUACCUUGCUGUUGGGGAUGUAUAGUCAUACAAUCCUUUAGGAAACUGGCCGUUUACUAAAACUAAACAUAUGCUUAACCAGCGUGGAAGCAAAGCCUUGGUAUAAACCCAGGAGUGAUGCGUGCACAUGUCCCACAAAAGAUAAGUACUAGGAUGUUCACGGCAGAGUUGUUCAAAAUGGCCAAACAUUGGAAACAACCCAAAUGUCCAUCAAUUGUAGAGUAGAUAAGAAAUAAUAGCCUAUUCAUACAAUGAUAUUCUGCAUAGCAAUUUUAAAAAGUACCCACUACAAUGUGCUGGUACCUGCAACAAUGUGAAUUAUUAUCAUAGAUAUGUUAAGUGAAAAAAGCAAACAUACAAAAAUGAAAACAUACUCACUCUGUGAUUCCAUUUAUGUGAAUUUCAAAAAUAAUGGGCAAAACAAAUUUGUGAAGGUCAGGACAGUAGUUGCUUUGGGGGUGAAAAUGACUGGAUGGGACACAGAAGAAUCUUUCAAAGUAUUAGAAACAUUCUGAGUAGUAUCCACAUGGUCUAUACAAGUGUAGAAAUUCUUCAAGCCCAUUCAUUCAAUAUCCAUGCCCAUUACUGCAUGUAAUUUAUAGUUAUCAAAGAAAAAAGCAAAAAAAUUGAGCAGAAAAUAGCAAAAUAUAUACAAGAAUAAUAGUUUAUUUAAAGUAGCUUCCUUUAGGGUCACCUAACUGGCUCAGUCAGUAGAGCAUGCGACUUUUGAUCUCAGAUCGUGAGUUGGGCAUGGAGCCUACCUAAAAUAAAUAAAUAUUUUUUUAAAGUAGUUUCCUUUAGGGAUGCCUGGAUGACACAGCGGUUAAACAUCUGCCUUCAGCUCAGGGCGUGAUCUUGUUGGGGGGUCCUGGUAUCAAGUCCUGCAUUGGGCUCCCCAUGAGCCUGCUCCCCCCCCCCCCCCCCCCCCCCCCGCCUACAUCUCUGCCUCUCUCUGUGCAUCUCUCAUGAAUAAAUAAAUAAAAUCUUUCUCUUUUAAAGUAGUUUCCUUUGGCUGAGGGGUGUCAAGGGUAGGAGGAUAGGUUGGAGCAAGGUAAUUUCACUUUAUAUCCAUUUUGAAUUUGAAAUCAAGUGAGUUACUUGUUCAAAAGAAUAAGUUAGGGAUCCCUGGGUGGCCCAGCAGUUUAGCGCCUGCCUUUGGCCCAGGGUGCGAUCCUGGAGUCCCAGGAUCGAGUCCUGCGUCAGGCUCCCGGCAUGGAGCCUGCUUCUCCCUCCUCCUGUGUCUCUGCCUUCUCUCUCUCUCUCUCUCUCUCCCUCUCUCUCUCUAU